rnacentral:rRNA from 1 species
CCUACGGGAGGCAGCAGUGGGGGAUAUUGGACAAUGGGGGGAACCCUGAUCCAGCGAAGCCGCGUGAGUGAAGAAGUAUUUCGGUAUGUAAAGCUCUGUCAGCAGGGAAGAAAGAAAUGACGGUACCUGACCAAGAAGCCUCGGCUAACUAAGUGCCAGCAGCCGCGGUAAUACGGAGGGGGCAAGCGUUAUGCGGAAUUACUGGGUGUAAAGGGAGCGUAGACGGUUAAGUAAGUCUGGAGUGAAAGGCCGGGGCCCAACCCCGGGACUGCUCUGGAAACUAGUCAACUUGAGUGCAGGAGAGGUAAGCGGAAUGCCUGGUGUAGCGGUGAAAUGCGUAGAUAUUAGGAGGAACACCAGUGGCGAAGGCGGCUUACUGGACUGUAACUGACGUUGAGGCUCGAAAGCGUGGGGAGCAAACAGGAUUAGAUACCCCUGUAGUC